CAGUCGCCGCGGUAAUACGAAGGGUGCAAGCGUUAAUCGGAAUUACUGGGCGUAAAGGGUGCGUAGGCGGUGAGUUAAGUCUGUUGUGAAAUCCCCGGGCUCAACCUGGGAAUGGCAAUGGAUACUGGCUCGCUAGAGUGUGAUAGAGGAUGGUGGAAUUCCCGGUGUAGCGGUGAAAUGCGUAGAGAUCGGGAGGAACAUCAGUGGCGAAGGCGGCCAUCUGGAUCAACACUGACGCUGAAGCACGAAAGCGUGGGGAGCAAACAGGAUUAGAUACCCCUGUAGUCCCUGUCUCUUAUAC
rnacentral:rRNA from 1 species